ACACAUGCAAGUCGAGCGGGGAAAAGUAGCUUGCUACUUAACUUAGCGGCGGACGGGUGAGUAAUACUUAGGAAUCUGCCUAUUAGUGGGGGACAACAUUUCGAAAGGAAUGCUAAUACCGCAUACGUCCUACGGGAGAAAGCAGGGGAUCACUUGUGACCUUGCGCUAAUAGAUGAGCCUAAGUCGGAUUAGCUAGUUGGUGGGGUAAAGGCCUACCAAGGCGACGAUCUGUAGCGGGUCUGAGAGGAUGAUCCGCCACACUGGGACUGAGACACGGCCCAGACUCCUACGGGAGGCAGCAGUGGGGAGUAUUGGACAAUGGGGGGAACCCUGAUCCAGCCAUGCCGCGUGUGUGAAGAAGGCCUUUUGGUUGUAAAGCACUUUAAGCGAGGAGGAGGCUACUCUAGUUAAUACCUAGGGAUAGUGGACGUUACUCGCAGAAUAAGCACCGGCUAACUCUGUGCCAGCAGCCGCGGUAAUACAGAGGGUGCGAGCGUUAAUCGGAUUUACUGGGCGUAAAGCGUGCGUAGGUGGCCAAUUAAGUCAAAUGUGAAAUCCCCGAGCUUAACUUGGGAAUUGCAUUCGAUACUGGUUGGCUAGAGUAUGGGAGAGGAUGGUAGAAUUCCAGGUGUAGCGGUGAAAUGCGUAGAGAUCUGGAGGAAUACCGAUGGCGAAGGCAGCCAUCUGGCCUAAUACUGACACUGAGGUACGAAAGCAUGGGGAGCAAACAGGAUUAGAUACCCUGGUAGUCCAUGCCGUAAACGAUGUCUACUAGCCGUUGGGGUCUUUGAGACUUUAGUGGCGCAGCUAACGCGAUAAGUAGACCGCCUGGGGAGUACGGUCGCAAGACUAAAACUCAAAUGAAUUGACGG
rnacentral:rRNA from 1 species